UACAGAGGGGGCAAGCGUUGUUCGGAAUUACUGGGCGUAAAGGGCGCGUAGGCGGUCUUUUAAGUCUUGUGUGAAAUCCCUCGGCUCAACUGAGGAACUGCACGGGAUACUGGAAGACUUGAGUUCGGGAGAGGGAAGCGGAAUUCCGGGUGUAGCGGUGAAAUGCGUAGAUAUCUGGAGGAAUACCGGUGGCGAAGGCGGCAUCCUGGACCGACAUUGACGCUGAACGGCGAAAGCUAGGGGAGCGAAACAGGG
rnacentral:rRNA from 1 species